GACGAACGCUGGCGGCGUGCCUAACACAUGCAAGUCGAACGGAGUAAACCGCUGAGUUGAAGGUAGCUUGCUACUGAAUUUUCUUGGUUUACUUAGUGGCGGACGGGUGAGUAACGCGUGAGUAACCUGCCUUACAGAGGGGGACAACAGUUGGAAACGACUGCUAAUACCGCAUAAUAUAUGAUUGUCGCAUGGCAGACAUAUCAAAGGAGCAAUCCGCUGUAAGAUGGACUCGCGUCCAAUUAGAUAGUUGGUGGGGUAACGGCCCACCAAGUCGACGAUUGGUAGCCGGACUGAGAGGUUGAACGGCCACAUUGGGACUGAGACACGGCCCAG
rnacentral:rRNA from 1 species